rnacentral:rRNA from 1 species
UGGGGAAUUUUGGACAAUGGGCGAAAGCCUGAUCCAGCAAUGCCGCGUGUGUGAAGAAGGCCUUCGGGUUGUAAAGCACUUUUGUCCGGAAAGAAAUCCUUGGCUCUAAUACAGUCGGGGGAUGACGGUACCGGAAGAAUAAGCACCGGCUAACUACGUGCCAGCAGCCGCGGUAAUACGUAGGGUGCAAGCGUUAAUCGGAAUUACUGGGCGUAAAGCGUGCGCAGGCGGUUUGCUAAGACCGAUGUGAAAUCCCCGGGCUCAACCUGGGAACUGCAUUGGUGACUGGCAGGCUAGAGUAUGGCAGAGGGGGGUAGAAUUCCACGUGUAGCAGUGAAAUGCGUAGAGAUGUGGAGGAAUACCGAUGGCGAAGGCAGCCCCCUGGGCCAAUACUGACGCUCAUGCACGAAAAGCGUGGGGAGCAAAACAGGAUUAGAUACCCUGGUAGUCCACGCCCUAAAACGAUGUCAACUAGUUGUUGGGGAUUCAUUUCCUUAGUAACGUAGCUAACGCGUGAAGUUGACCGCCUGGGGAGUACGGUCGCAAGAUUAAAACUCAAAU